rnacentral:rRNA from 1 species
GUUGGCUUAGGGAUACGUUCGUUGGGUAGGGGAGCGUUCUGUAAGCCUGUGAAGGUGUGUCGUGAGGCAUGCUGGAGGUAUCAGAAGUGCGAAUGCUGACAUAAGUAACGAUAAAGCGGGUGAAAAGCCCGCUCGCCGGAAGACCAAGGGUUCCUGUCCAACGUUAAUCGGGGCAGGGUGAGUCGACCCCUAAGGCGAGGCCGAAAGGCGUAGUCGAUGGGAAACGGGUUAAUAUUCCCGUACUUGGUGUUACUGCGAAGGGGGGACGGAGAAGGCUAUGUUGGCCGGGCGACGGUUGUCCCGGUUUAAGCGUGUAGGUGUGUGUUCCAGGUAAAUCCGGUUCACUUUAACACUGAGGCGUGACGACGAGGCACUACGGUGCUGAAGCAACAAAUGCCCUGCUUCCAGGAAAAGCCUCUAAGCAUCAGGUAACAUCAAAUCGUACCCCAAACCGACACAGGUGGUCAGGUAGAGAAUACCAAGGCGCUUGAGAGAACUCGGGUGAAGGAACUAGGCAAAAUGGUGCCGUAACUUCGGGAGAAGGCACGC